AUGGUCCAUGUGCCUGAAGGCUUCAAAAUUCCCCACUCCGAUUGGAAAACAGCUUGCAUAGACCCAGAGUCCCGGGAAGCUCCACAAGAGGAAAGAAGGCUGUUGCAGUACGUGGAUGAUCUUCUAGUAGCCACUCGGAUGAGGGAAGCCUGGACGGUAAGCCUUUUGAAUUUCCUAGGACUCCAAGGAUGCAGAGUCUCAAAGAAAAAGGCACAGGUAGUGAAACAGAAGGUAAUCUACCUGGGGUAAGGAGUGCUGAGCAGCAGGCUUUAAGGCAGGGAAGACAUAGGCCAAACCCCGAAACCCCAGACAACGAAGGAACUCCCAACCUUCUUAGGCAUGGCAGGGUGGUGCCGGCUGUGGGUUUAUAGUUAUGCACUGCUCGUCAGACCCCUCUAUGCUCUUAUUGCCGAUGGAAACAGAGAUCUCCAGUGGACAAAAGGAGCCACACGGGCCUUUCACCAGCUAGAGAGUGUCCUUAUGUCAGCUCCAGCCUUGAGACUUCCAGAUGUAAGUAAACCAUUCUUUCUAUUUUUCCAUGCAAGGAAUUGCCCUGGGAAUACUGGCUCAGGACUUGGGUCCAUACCGAAGGGCAGUUGCUUACUUCUCUAAGCAACUAGAUGCAACAGCCAAAGGAUGGCCAGGCCGCCUCAGAGGUGUAGCAGCAGUUGUGCUGAAUAUUGAAGAAGCACCCAAGUCUACCCUGGGACAAAAAUGACUGUGCUAGUGUCCCACACAGUGUCCACAGUACUGGAAGUAAAGGGUGGCCACUGGCUUUCACCACAGAGGUUUCUGAAAUACCAGGCCAUCAUGGUAGAGCAAGAUGAUGUAGAGAUAGUGGUGACUAAUAUUGUCAACCCAGCCUCUUUUCUCAGUGGAAUCAAGGAGAAGCAGUACACCACGAUUGCCUGGAGACCAUUGAAGCUACCUACUCCUGCUGCCCAGACUUAAAGGACACUCCUUUGGACGAUGCAGAGAGCUGGCUCACUGACGGGAGCAGCUACAUUGCCAGUGGAAAGCGACAUGCAAAGUACACAGUGACUACCUGCAGAGAGGUAAUAGAGUCUGGACCCUUACCAACAGGUACCUCUGCACAGAAGGCUGAGAUAAAUGCAUUGACCCAUGCCUUAGAAAAGCUAAAGGCAUUCAGAGUCGUGCAUGCGCAUGGAGCCAUCUGGAAGGAGAGGGGACUGCUCAACUCACAAGGGAAGAAGAGACAAACUGGCUGCUGGAAGCAGUUCAGCUACCUGAAAAAGCAUAUUAAGGCACACCAGAGAGUGAGCUUAAAAUUGGAGGAAAGAAAUGAGCUGGCGGAUGGAGAGGCAAAGAAAGCAGCAAAGGGUGAGGUAAUUAUGGACAGAUUUUCCUCGAAGGUAAGCCAUAAUACAAUAAUACUAAUCAAAACAGACAUACAACUACAAGGGGUGCGUCACCCUGGUUUUUUAGGAUUUUCUAUGCCUUCUGAUGUUGACAUUCUUGUAGUGAACUUUCUCACACACUUUCUGUAAAUAAGUCAUUGUUUUGCAUUCCUUGAUGGAGGAGGAGAGAGUUGAGGGACUGUUGGUUUAACCAGUGUCAUUGGAGAGGUGUCACUGUCACCCUCCAAUCCGCUGUCACUUUUGUAAAACUAUAAAUAUUGGAGUCAGAAAAUAAACUUCCCUUUUUUCCUUCACCUUGAGAACGGUUGCGUGCUUGUGUUCUUUCGUGUCCUACAGCGACAUCUGGUGACCGCCCAAGUGCUCCUCACCACCUUUGCUGCAAUCAAGAUUAAGGAACAAAGCACCUAGAUCCAUCAUUCCCGAGUGAAGAAGGCUCCUGAGGCACUUUAGAAAGUUACAAUGGAAGGAAGAGGAGCAAGUGAACCAACAUAGGAACAUAUUGAAACCAGCAGAACAAUGCCCAGCACCUGGACUCUGUGUCAAUCCAUCACGAAGCAGGGGGCCUUGGAUUGUGCCAGAGGGUCACAGAGACCUGACCAAGACCUUCCUGACUUCAUCCCUGGGACCACUGACCCAAUUUGGGACCACUGAUCCAAUUCAAGGGAAGAACUGCGCACACGUGAAGGACUAAUAACCUCAUUUUAAUACAAAGCGGGGAUGGGAGGUGCUGGGGUUAUGCAUAUGUAUUAUUUUGGGAAAUAAAUAGAAGGCAAAAAUCCUUGUGUGGUGCAGUCACGCAUUUCAAGAAUGACCCCUUCCAGGCCACCCACCGGCGUAAUAAACAUACCACUUUCUAACUUUAACUAGUUAGAUAGUCUUUGUCCCUGAUUUUCAGUUUUAAUGAUUAAGUGACAAUGCUAUAGAUCCAAAAUUGUCUACAUCUGGGACUGCACAAAAGAUUAUGUGCAUACAAAAUAAUAAGAAAGACCACUUGGAAGAAGCAAAAAUUAUUUAUGAAAAGAAAAGCAAAUAAUGGAGGAUAGAAAAAAAGAAAUACUGCUCAAGCCAAAUUAUUUGUAAAAAGGGAAGAGGAAAGAUUAUUAUAGAUGCUUAUUAUAUUGUUAUAUUAAGAGGAAUCUUAUAUGUACAAUGUUAAAAUAACUAUGCUCUUAUUUCUGCUGUUAAUAAAAACUUAGACAUGGCAGUAGUGGUAGCUGAUCUAGUCAGGAGUGAACUGUCUGUUUGGUCGGGAUAACAUCCAGUGAACACGUCAUGAGCACCCUGCUAUUGAUGUGCCAACUAUCAGCAUCUGCCGUCUGAAGAAAGUGUGGACCAAGGCCCAGAGUGGAAGUGAUCAAGAGAGGGAACCAAAACCACAGCCAAGAAACACACAUGCUCUAAAAAGGCAGAGCUGAGGAGGAGCCAUGCUAAACAAUUCCUGAAAUAUGUAAACUAGAUGGUGGAUAUGCAUAAGAGUCUAUGAAUAUGCAACAGGCUGAUGUAAUAGAAAUGGUAUAAAAAGGGUGUUUCCCAAACUAGCAGGGGUGCUCUUGGCUUAGUACCAAGAUGCACUGAGCCGUAAUUUUUGUUUUGCUGUCUCUGUCUCCUACUGUCCUUUAUUAAAGUUUUAAAUUUUAA